GCAGACACAUUCCAGCCAAUCAGCAGGAGACCCUCCCUCCCAGACCCUCCCACCUCCUGGACAGCAUCCAUUGUGAAGCUGCAUUCUUAGUGAGCUGUCCAGGAGAUGGAAGGGUCUGGGAGGGAGGGUCUGCUGCUGAUUGGCUGGGAUGUGUCUG